UGGCCUCCGAAUCCUACCACCUGCACAGCACAAUCACGACCACCAACAACAGAACUCAUCAGCACCGCGAAGCUCGUAACAAGAUAUAACAACACUGAUGACGACCACCACCACAACAACACCCAAGAAACAAAUCAGAUUCGACAGAAGUAGCCGGCCAUGGUCGCCUCUAUCCCACAUGCACACAGAAAACAAGCAGGGAAAGUGCUUCGGCCGAGGGCGGGCGCAAGCGCGCGCUUACCCGACGCCGGCGUCCGAAACUCGGGAUCUCCGCUCGGGCACGGGACGAAGCUGAAAGGGAGUCACCAUGGAUCCGCAGCAACACUCGCCGCCUUGGAGCUCGCCUCGCCACCGGUCACCUCUCCGUCGGCCUCGUGCUCCUCUGCCUAGAUCCGCCGCCAAGACCACCAACCAACGCGUGCUCCCUCGCCUCGAUCCGUCCGUCGUGCCGUCGGAUCCGCCGCCCGGACCACCAACCCAAGUGUGCUCUGCUCCUCUGCCUCGAUCGGUCCGCCCCCUCAUCGGAUCCACACCAGAGCAGCCGCCUCUGGGCUUGCUAUGAGCAACCGCCCCCGUCAGCCACGCCGCUGCUAGUGAACCCACCCGAACCUGCCUGCCUCCCUCUCUGGUCCUUCUCCCCCUGGUUCCAUCUCAUUCCCGUAACACUUGUCUCUUCUUCUUGUGGUUUCUCUCCGUAGAGGACUCGCGGCGGCAGACUGGUCACAGCGGCGGCGUGUGCUCGCUCUCGGUACUGGUCGACGGUGUACCCACCCCCAGCUGCCCCCUCCCCCCUUCACAACACACACGAGGCCCGGCGCCAUUCUAGCGGGCAAGCACGGCGGCCUGGCUGCCUUCUGCGCCCCAUUCCUGGCCUCACCUCGCCGGAGAGGGCCACGUGGGGUGGACGAGGUCGUCCGCGCGGUCUCACCACUUCCUUAGCUCCUACGGCGGGACGCCUGAUCCAUUCCUUGUUCCUGUCCACGCCGACGGCAAGCGAGGGUGCGACGGAUGGCCAGAGACGGUGGAGGAGCUGAUGGAUAAGACAUAACAGUGAAACUGGGUGUCGAUGGGGACGGGGCUGUAAAACUGAAUCGUUUUUUUCACUCAAAUCAGGAGUGAGGGUUGAAUACCCAAAACAUCAAGGGCUUUUUCACAAAAUUACCACAACGGAUGCUACGGACGACAGAAGUAACAGAAGUAGUGCGUGCUUUAUUAUUACGGACGUGUAGAAAUCCUAUGUAUUCACCGUAAGCAAAUCCGAAUUGGAUGAUGAAGAAGACAAGGCGACAGACUGCUAAAGUAUA